rnacentral:rRNA from 1 species
CAGCCGUAAACUAUGCUCGCUAGGUGUCAGGCAUGGCGCGACCGUGUCUGGUGCCGCAGGGAAGCCGUGAAGCGAGCCACCUGGGAAGUACGGCCGCAAGGCUGAAACUUAAGGAAUUGGCGGGGGAGCACCACAAUGGGUGGAGCCUGCGGUUUAAUUGGACUCAACGCCGGGAAGCUCACCGGAUAAGACAGCGGAAUGAUUGCCGGGCUGAAGACUCUGCAUGACUAGCUGAGAGGUGGUGCAUGGC